rnacentral:misc_RNA from 1 species
GUUCUUUUAGCCAAGUUUGGAAUAAAAUAAUUUUUUAAUUUAUCAGUUGUAAAUUAUCAAUGAUGGAGUGAUAAAUUUAGGGUGACAAUACUCGAGACGAACUACUGAACACAAAGACGCAAGUAGGAACAACACUCGAAUCAUGUAGGAGCCACGGGAGGGUACCAGAGGGAGGGGAGUCCAACACAUGCAAACCCAUGCCCAUCUUGAACUAUAGCAUGAACCUGACUUUUAAUUUACUUUGGCAAAUGAAGAUGAAAAGAAAUGCUGAUGAAAAAUUGUAGUACCAAUCAGCCUCCUCGUUCUCAUCAUGGGAUCAAGAACAUUGCUACCACCCUAACAUAUCCUUGACAAGAGUCUUAAGAGAAGCAAAAGAUGAACCAUCCCCAUGAAA